rnacentral:rRNA from 1 species
GACGAACGCUGGCGGCGUGCUUAACACAUGCAAGUCGAACGGAAAGGCCCUGCUUUUGUGGGGUGCUCGAGUGGCGAACGGGUGAGUAACACGUGAGUAACCUGCCCUUGACUUUGGGAUAACUUCAGGAAACUGGGGCUAAUACCGGAUAGGAGCUCCUGCUGCAUGGUGGGGGUUGGAAAGUUUCGGCGGUUGGGGAUGGACUCGCGGCUUAUCAGCUUGUUGGUGGGGUAGUGGCUUACCAAGGCUUUGACGGGUAGCCGGCCCGAGAGGGUGACCGGCCACAUUGGGACUGAGAUACGGCCCAGACUCCUACGGGAGGCAGCAGUGGGGAAUACUGCACAAUGGGCGGAAGCCUGAUGCAGCAACGCCGCGUGCGGGAUGACGGCCUUCGGGUUGUAAACCGCUUUCGCCUGUGACGAAGCGUGAGUGACGGUAAUGGGUAAAGAAGCACCGGCUAACUACGUG